CGAACACAAAGAAGAACAGCAGUACGGCUCUCUGGAGGGAAUGUUACAGCCGAGCGCGAGCUAACGCUACCUGAGCUAACUUGAUAGCUAAAACCGCUAACAGAGUGGACGAACUGAUGACGCCACGGUGUUGACUUUAAGAGCUGCAAACAUGAGUGAAGAAAUGAUCAGCACUCAUGAAGACCUGCUGGACCUUUUCCCAGACCUAGAGAACUUCUUGCUACGGAAAGCAAAGAGAGCUCAGAUACAUACACACUGUGAGCCAAAACAUGACUGGUGCUCCAGUCGUACACUUCAUGUUGUGAAGCCUCAGUGUAACUGACUAACUGCACUGGAUUGUAAGAACU